CCGGCAAAUCCACAGCGCCAUCUGAUCGAACCUAAAUCAAGUACCAAUCCGUCGAUUUCCUCGCUGCUAUCCGCCAUCGCCGGUGCUGGUGCUCACCAGUUCACUCCUCGGCCGCUUUCGGACAAACUAACAGUCAACCAACUUGGCAGCACGGACAAUGGCGUUCUCUAGACCGAACUCGGUUACGAAAGGCGACAGCUCAAGCAAGCGCUUGAUCUGGAUGGUGGAGUAGACUUGAGCAACCUGCACACAAGGCAAAGACACGAUGUCAAGAAGACUCGGUGAACACAAGAGACUGGCAACACGUCCAGAUCUGUUUGACUCUCAGUCAGUAGCUACAUGAUGGCACCUGCUCAGCUGGUUCGCCACGGACACCAGGCACCCAGACACUCCGCACAACAAGACAAGACGACAAAACCGGAAC